UACGAAGGGGGCUAGCGUUGCUCGGAAUUACUGGGCGUAAAGGGCGCGUAGGCGGUUUGGACAGUCAGGCGUGAAAUUCCCGGGCUUAACCUGGGGGCUGCGCUUGAUACAUCCAGACUUGAGUGGGGAAGAGGGUCGUGGAAUUCCCAGUGUAGAGGUGAAAUUCGUAGAUAUUGGGAAGAACACCGGUGGCGAAGGCGGCGACCUGGUCCUUUACUGACGCUGAGGAGCGAAAGCGUGGGGAGCGAACAGG
rnacentral:rRNA from 1 species